rnacentral:rRNA from 1 species
GGGUAACCUGCCUCAUACAGGGGGAUAACAGUUGGAAACGACUGCUAAUACCGCAUAAGCGCACGGGAUUGCAUGAUCCAGUGUGAAAAACUCCGGUGGUAUGAGAUGGACCCGCGUCUGAUUAGCCAGUUGGCGGGGUAACGGCCCACCAAAGCGACGAUCAGUAGCCGACCUGAGAGGGUGACCGGCCACAUUGGGACUGAGACACGGCCCAAACUCCUACGGGAGGCAGCAGUGGGGAAUAUUGCACAAUGGGGGAAACCCUGAUGCAGCGACGCCGCGUGAGCGAAGAAGUAUUUCGGUAUGUAAAGCUCUAUCAGCAGGGAAGAAGAAUGACGGUACCUGACUAAGAAGCACCGGCUAAAUACGUGCCAGCAGCCGCGGUAAUACGUAUGGUGCAAGCGUUAUCCGGAUUUACUGGGUGUAAAGGGAGCGCAGGCGGUACGGCAAGUCUGAUGUGAAAUCCCGGGGCUCAACCCCGGUACUGCAUUGGAAACUGUCGGACUAGAGUGUCGGAGGGGUAAGUGGAAUUCCUAGUGUAGCGGUGAAAUGCGUAGAUAUUAGGAGGAACACCAGUGGCGAAGGCGGCUUACUGGACGAUUACUGACGCUGAGGCUCGAAAGCGUGGGGAGCAAACAGGAUUAGAUACCCUGGUAGUCCACGC